rfam:Schistosoma mansoni strain Puerto Rico chromosome W, complete genome
AUCAAGCUGACGAGCCCCAAACAGGACGAAACGCGCGUCAAACUGGAU